rnacentral:rRNA from 1 species
AUGGUUAAGGACACUGAAUUGAUAAAUGUCCAUCCCCUCCAGCUCCUCUUCUCUUUCCGAUCCAACAAGUCUAUCUCCUGCCCAUUUCAUGUAACUAACAACAUGGACGAUCAGCAUGUGUCCGUGAGGUGUGUCCCAAAACACGAGGAGGCAACACCUCACUACUACGAUCUGAAUCUGCUGGGCGGUACUGUGCCACCAAGGUCCACACACACCUUCGUUGUAACGAUGAAACAAGUGGAGCAGCCGCCGGCCAACAUGGACGUGCUUGACAUAGUCGUUGUACUACAGACUUUCCCAGAUAACAGCCGUGGAUUUCCUGAGGUGACCCUGAAGGCCGCCUGUGCAACUACGUGUGAGAAGACGACAUCUGAGGUCUUACUUCAUUAUGAUUGUUAUGGUCUACUAAAGUCAAUGGAUGUGCACCCUACAGAGCCUUGGAUUUUGACUGCCUAUCAGGCACGGCUUGUCAUUUGGAACUACAAGACCCAGACAAGAAUGAUGGAGCGUGAAUUCCACCCUGGGUUUGCUCAUUCCCUCAGAAACUUCUCCUCUAGGGUGUUUGUUAGCAGCGUUAGUUUCUCCUCUAGGGUGUUCGUUAGCAGCGUUAGGUUUAUCGUGAAGUCGACGGAGCAAUUGUUCGUGGUGGGUGAUGAGGACGGGUACAUCCACGUGCAUAACUGUAUGACAAUGAAGAGAGUCAAGGAAUUCAAAGCUCAUGGCUGUGCGGUCACAUCAUUCGCCGUUCACCCGACUCAACCAUUUGUGCUGUCGGCAUCUCGCGACCAACUAAUCAAGCUUUGGAACUGGGAGAAGGGCUGGGUGUGCAUCAGGACAUUCACUGGGCACUCAGCCAGGGUGAACCAAGUCAAGUUCAAUCCGCAUGACAACAACACUUUUGCCAGUGCUUCCGGGGACGGCACAGUGAAGAUCUGGAGAAUUUUUUCUCCCACUCAUUUCACCAGCCUCAACUGCGAAGAGGGGCAGCGCUCUGUUGAUUACUAUCCCACGGGUGGUGAUCAGCAGCAGCAGCAGCACUACAUGGUUACAGGAUCGGGAUGGCAGUUGAGACCGGACAAUGCGACGGCACGCAUCUGGGAUUUGCGAACACAGACAUGUACCCGUGAAAUCAAGGGGCUCAACUCAUACUGUGAAGUUGGUGUGAUCGACUGCCACCCAGAUCGUCCAGCAGUAUUGGUUACCGCGUCAGGAAGCUGUGGUGUUUCUCUCCACGACUCCACAACCUACAGGUGUGAGAGAACGGUUCAUUUCGGUCUCGGCAAGGUUGUAUGUGUUGCAUACGUCAAGGGCAUAAGAAGCCUCGCUAUUGGACAUGAGCGAGGAGUUGCAAUCAUGGAAAUCGAUUGA